rnacentral:rRNA from 1 species
UGAACGCUGGCGGUAUGCUUAACACAUGCAAGUCGAACGGAAACGAUACUAGCUUGCUAGUAGGCGUCGAGUGGCGGACGGGUGAGUAACGCGUAGGAAUCUGCCUGAUAGUGGGGGAUAGCCCGAAGAAAUUCGGAUUAAUACCGCAUAAUCUAUUCGUAGUAAAGUGGGGGACUUUCGAGCCUCACGCUAUCAGAUGAGCCUGCGUAAGAUUAGCUAGUUGGUAGGGUAAAAGCCUACCAAGGCAACGAUCUUUAGCUGGUCUGAGAGGAUGAUCACCCACAUCGGGACUGAGACACGGCCCGAACUCCUACGGGAGGCAGCAGUGGGGAAUAUUGGACAAUGGGGGCAACCCUGAUCCAGCAAUACCGCGUGUGUGAAGAAGGCCUGAGGGUUGUAAAGCACUUUCAAUUGUGAAGAAAAGUUAACGGUUAAUAACCGUUAGCCUUGACGUUAACUUUAGAAGAAGCACCGGCUAACUCCGUGCCAGCAGCCGCGGUAAUACGGAUGGUGCAAGCGUUAAUCGGAAUUACUGGGCGUAAAGCGUGCGUAAGCGGUUUAUUAAGUCAGAUGUGAAAGCCCCGGGCUUAACCUGGGAACUGCAUUUGAAACUGGUCAACUACAGUAUGGUAGAGAAAGUGGAAUUUCUGGUGUAGCGGUGAAAUGCGUAGAUAUCAGAAGGAACAUCAAUGGCGAAGGCAGCUUUCUGGACCAAUACUGACGCUGAGGUACGAAAGCGUGGGUAGCAAACAGGAUUAGAUACCUUGGUAGUCCACGCCGUAAACGAUGAUAACUAGCCGUGGGAGGGAUUUACCCUUUAGUGGCGAAGCUAACGCGUUAAGUUAUCCGCUUGGGGAGUACGGCCGCAAGGUUAAAACUCAAAGGAAUUGACGGGGACCCGCACAAGCGGUGGAGCAUGUGGUUUAAUUCGAUGCAACGCGAAGAACCUUACCUGGUCUUGACAUCCUGCGAACUUUCUAGAAAUAGAUUGGUGCCUUCGGGAACGCAGUGACAGGUGCUGCAUGGCUGUCGUCAGCUCGUGUCGUGAGAUGUUGGGUUAAGUCCCGUAACGAGCGCAACCCCUAUCCUUAUUUGCCAGCACGUCAUGGUGGGAACUAUAAGGAGACUGCCGGUGAUAAACCGGAGGAAGGCGGGGACGACGUCAAGUCAUCAUGGCCCUUACGACCAGGGCUACACACGUGCUACAAUGGGAAGGACAAAGAGCCGCGAAGCCGCGAGGUGUAGCUAAUCUCAGAAACCUUUUCGUAGUCCGGAUUGGAGUCUGCAACUCGACUCCAUGAAGUCGGAAUCGCUAGUAAUCGUAGAUCAGAAUGCUACGGUGAAUACGUUCCCGGGUCUUGUACUCACCGCC